GGACUGUAAGUCCUUAAGUAUUGUGGUGAGACUGAGUUUCUCGAUAAACUGGAGAUGGUGAGGAUUAAUGGCUGCAAGAAAGGUAACUCUUCCAAUAUGAUAGGAAGCCAAGUAGUCACCCUCGGUGUAUCAAGAUCUUGGUUUCGGACUAUAUAACAAGUGUUCCCAUCUGUUGGAGCUUGUUGAAGAAUAAUAAAUCCUCAAUUGCUGAUUUUGAUCCAAGUGACUCUUGGUUCCAAAUUCGUUUUGGUGGUCAUAGUCUUCUUUAGUCAUGGUUUGGUUCUAAGCGAGUAAGAAUCUCUUUCCAAUCUUCUCUGUUUUCUCUCUUGUGGUUAUGUACCUCUUCACAUCUGGAGUUUAGUUAGCUUUGUAGGAAUCUGUACUCACAUAUGAAUUCAUUUGGCAUUUGUUUUCACAGCUAUUGAUCGAUAAGGGGGCCUGUUUUAGCUGCCAUAAACUCCAACGAGUUUG